GACGAACCGGACGAACGUUAUUCGGAAUUACUGGGCUUAAAGGGUUCGUAGGCGGCCUUGUAAGUGAGAUGUGAAAUCCCUCGGCUCAACCGAGGAAGUGCAUUUCAUACUGCAAGGCUUGAGGGAGACAGAGGUAAGCGGAACUGAUGGUGGAGCGGUGAAAUGCGUUGAUAUCAUCAGGAACACCGGUGGCGAAAGCGGCUUACUGGGUCUCUUCUGACGCUGAGGAACGAAAGCUAGGGGAGCGAACGG
rnacentral:rRNA from 1 species